UAACAACAACAGCAGCUGUUGCGUCCACAUCUACUAUUUUCCUGGUGAUCAUGAUCCUUGGUGCCUUUCUCUGGAUCAGAAGAAAAAGCUCCUCACAAAGCUUUUUCCCUGGAAAGAUACCAGACAACAGCGCUGAGAUCCCACUGGUGCAGCUUUGCAGCGUGAACUUUUCCGGAACCCGGAAGGAUCUUCUCUACUCCAACAUCAGGCCAGCUCGCCCCUCCAGGGGCAAGCAGGAAGAGGAGGAAGAGGAGUACAUGUAUCAACUUUAAAAGUUCUGGUGCUGCCAGUGAGUGAGACUUUGACAAUCUUGCUGCUUUUAUCAUCACUGUUUGUUUAAACAUGUUAAUUCUUCAUGGUGUGGGUUUACGGUUUUUUAACUGAUGGAGGUGUGAAGGAGCUGUGGAUGAUUCUUCUGCUCUGUACAGCACCGUCAGCAAAGCACCAAGAGAAUGAAGCCACACGGACAUGUGGUACUUUACAUAGUUUAAGCACACUGUAACAAAUUACUGUAACAAAUUACUGUAACAAAUUACUGUAACAAAUUACGAGGAAUUCUCAACAGUAGCAUACUGUUAUUCGUCAAUACAGUACUGUAAAAUAUUGCAAAGGUUGAUGUCUUGGAAGAAUAUAUUUUUUGCAGUACAGUAGAGUGUUCCGAUUGUAUUGAACAGUUAUUUAAGUAUUUUGAAUGUUUUUUGUUGUUGAAUAUGUUUCCAUUUGUUGCACCAUACUACCAGAUCUAUACAAGCAUCUUCAAGUUACAUUCAUCUACAGAGAGUCUU